rnacentral:tRNA from 1 species
GCCAGUGUGGUGUAAUGGUUUGGGCACUGGACUAUGACUUUGGAGACCAGGGUUUGAAUCCUGGCUCAGACA